AUAUGAUUCCUCAGACCAGGCAACCUUCUUCCAUUGCUCUAUGGUCCAGUUCUGACGCUCAUGUCCCCUAGGUGAAAUUCUUUCAUCAGAGUCUGUACAGAUGUUUAAAACAACAACUGGAUGAAUACUUGCAAAAACAUGAUAUUCAGGGAAAUAUUUUUUUGAUAUGUGGGGUAACCACUUAUAGAUCCAAGGAGAGAUCUGACUGCCAGUCUGGGGUUGUGAAGGAAUUUUGUCCCCUAGUUUGUUGCAAAACUGGAAGCACUUCAAACUGAGUUUAUAGCCUUCUUUUGGAUCAACAGCAAAAACUAAUAGGAGUAAUGUUGAACAUGACAGGCGCAAGCCUUUUUUCUGCUUAUCUAUGUAAC